rnacentral:rRNA from 1 species
GACGAACGCUGGCGGCGUGCUUAACACAUGCAAGUCGAACGGAAAGGCCCUGCUUUUGUGGGGUGCUCGAGUGGCGAACGGGUGAGUAACACGUGAGUAACCUGCCCUUGACUUUGGGAUAACUUCAGGAAACUGGGGCUAAUACUGGAUAGGAGUUCCUGCUGCAUGGUGGGGGUAGGCAAGUUUCGGGGGUUGGGGAUGGACUCGCGGCUUAUCAGCUUGUUGGUGGGGUAGUGGCUUACCAAGGCUUUGACGGGUAGCCGGCCUGAGAGGGUGACCGGCCACAUUGGGACUGGAAUACGGCCCGGACUCCUCCGGGAGGCAGCAGUGGGGAAUAUUGCACAAUGGGCGGAAGCCUGAUGCAGCAACGCCGCGUGCGGGAUGACGGCCUUCGGGUUGUAAACCGCUUUCGCCUGUGACGAAGCGUGAGUGACGGUAAUGGGUAAAGAAGCACCGGCUAACUACGUG